rfam:Enterococcus hirae ATCC 9790, complete genome.
UCCUAUAGGCUAUAAUCAGUUAUGACAGUAAAGUUUAAUGACGGUGGCUAUCCAAUCUGAAAGUGAGGUGGUGCUUAUGCACAUAAUCUCAAACUUUAGAGAAAGGAGACGCCUUUUGUCUGUGGAAGCAGCGUUAGGGCUAAUGAUCAGUUUUGGAUCUUUGAUCGCAACACUGAUUUUUGGCAUUCUAA